CUACGGGCGGCAGCAGUGGGGAAUAUUGGACAAUGGGGGAAACCCUGAUCCUGCAAUGCCGCGUGUGUGAAGAAGGCCUGCGGGUUGUAAAGCACUUUCGGUUGGGAGGACUGCUUCUAGCACUAAUAUUGUUGGAAGUUGACGUUACCUUCAGAAGAAGCACCGGCUAACUCCGUGCCAGCAGCCGCGGUAAUACGGAGGGUGCAAGCGUAAUCGGAAUUACUGGGCGUAAAGCGCGCGUAGGCGGCUAGAUCAGUCGGGUGUGAAAGCCCCGGGCUUAACCUGGGAACUGCAUCCGAUACUGUCUAGCUUGAGUACAGGAGAGGAGAGUGGAAUUCCACAUGUAGCGGUGAAAUGCGUAGAUAUGUGGAGGAACACCAAUGGCGAAGGCAGCUCUCUGGCCUGAUACUGACGCUGAGGUGCGAAAGCGUGGGGAGCAAACAGGAUUAGAUACCCCUGUAGUC
rnacentral:rRNA from 1 species